AAAGCAGCUGGAGCUGAUCCAUGAAGAAGAGAGCAGCACAUAUACAUGCAAAUGCUACAUCAAAAAUGUCAGCAACAACACAGUGGAGGCCCGAACACAACAAGAGCUUCCAGCUCCAGCAGCCUCCUGUCCUCCAGAGAGAGAGCCAGCAGACCUGCCAGCUCUGCAGCCAGCUGACUGUAAGAUCACCUGCUGCCUCUCUGCAUGGACAGCUCCAAUGUCCAAUGAGGCAGCUGGAACAAGUUUAGGCUCUUAAAGUUGCACUAAUUGAUCAAAUCUUCAUCCAACAAGCUCUGAUAAAGCCACUGUACACUAGCUGCUCAGCACCAAACAGCAGACAGACCAUAAUAUGUCAGAGAUCAGUUUGUUAGCUGCUUGUGGAGUUCUUCUGCCCCCAAGUGGACACAAACACUACAUCAAUUCAUCCACUUGAAGAAGAAGCUGUGACUGUUUCUAUUUGGACUUUUUCUCCUUGAUCUGAGAGGAAUAACCCGACUGUCUGUCUGUCUCUUUGUGUCUGUCUGUCCUUCAGUGUCCUUCCAGUCUCAGUGCAGGGUGAAGCUGCUCUGCCUGCUGUACACAGUGCUGAUAGUGAAGAGUCUGGUGUACUGCUGUGGACUCUCUCUGCUGAUGAUGCUCACAAACAAGGGAGCGUCCACCAACUGCACACAUGCUGACUGACUGUUUCCUGCUCGCCUUUUCUCACCAUCACAUCUCAUCAAUUCAUCUCAUUCAUCACUUUGAUCACAAAUGUUAGUUAUGAUGUGUUGUGCUUAUUUUGCCUUUUUCUUCAACAGUUAGAAGAUCGUCUGAAAUAAAUACAUCUUUACAUGUAUUGUUGCUCUGAGUUAGAAUUCUUUUUGUGCUUAUUGUGACUUUUAUUGUAGUAACAAAAACCAUCAGGAAUAUUUUUAUCACAAGUUUUCACUUUGAUUUUCAAAUGUCAAACAGUGUAGUUGUGUUUGUGUGAACAAUAAAGAUUUGAAGAUGAAGAGUU